GAGAGAGAGAGAGAGAGAGAGGACGGUCUGUGAGCUUCUAGGUAAUUUUCUAGCUGAUUCCGGUGACCAACAUUGGCGAUCCAAGCAACGCUCGACUCUGUAUGAACCCAGCUUCAUUUUCCAACUGGUGGCCAAAAUUACAAGAACCAAGGAGAGAGAAAUGGGCAGAUUCGAAACUUUCUGAUCAGAUCCCGGAUGAUCCGACUAUCGAAUCGGUUAUCCGAUACCACCGUUGAAUUCAGAGUGACAAAACCUUUGAGAUGGAACUAACUCUACUCUGAUUAGACACCAUUUGAAAAAGGUGAUUAUCUGAUGAUCCAUAUCGC
rnacentral:misc_RNA from 1 species